rnacentral:rRNA from 1 species
GACGACGCUGGCGGCGUGCCUAAUACAUGCAAGUAGGACGAGUUGCGGGAGGGUGAGUAAUGUCUGGGUAACUGCCCGAUGGAGGGGGAUAACUAAAGGAAACGGUAGCUAAUACCGCAUACCGUCGGAUGUGGCCAGAUGGGAUUAGCUAGUAGGUGGGGUAACGGCUCACCUGGGCGACGAUCCCUCGCUGGUCUGAGAGGAUGAGCAGCCACACUGGAACUGAGACACGGUCCAGACUCCUACGGGAGGCAGCAGUGGGGAAUAUUGCACAAUGGGGGAAAGCCUGAUGCAGCCAUGCCGCGUGUAUGAAGAAGGCCUUCGGGUUGUAAAGUACUUUCAGCGAGGAGGCGUUACUCGCAGAAGAAGCACCGGCUAACUCCGUGCCAGCAGCCGCGGUAAUAC